rnacentral:piRNA from 1 species
UCUAACUACCCCAAGCUCUCACACAGUGG